rnacentral:rRNA from 1 species
AGGAUUAACGCUGGCGGCGUGCCUAAUACAUGCAAGUCGAACGCGCAUUUAUGCGAGUGGCGGACGGCUGAGUAACACGUUGGUACCUGCCCCGAACCCGGGAAUAAGCACUGGAAACGGUGUCUAAUGCCCGAUAGUCUCCUUGGAGUAAAGAUUUUUCGGUUCGGGAGGGGCCUGCGCCCGAUUAGCUUGUUGGUGAGGUAACGGCUCACCAAGGCAACGAUCGGUAGGUGGUCUGAGAGGAUGAUCACCCAGACUGGGACUGAGACACGGCCCAGACUCCUACGGGAGGCAGCAGUAAGGAAUCUUGCACAAUGGGGGAAACCCUGAUGCAGCAACGCCGCGUGAAGGAAGACGGUCUUCUGAUUGUAAACUUUCUUUUAUUUGGGACGAACAUUGACGGUACCAUUUGAAUAAGAGGUGCUAACUACGUGCCAGCAGCCGC